rnacentral:rRNA from 1 species
GGCGGACGGGUGAGUAACGCGUGAGAAUCUACCUAGUAGAAGGGGAUAGCCCGGGGAAACUCGGAUUAAUACCGUAUACCUCCUUUGGGAGAAAGAGGGCCCCUCUUUGAAGCUUUCGCUACUAGAUGAGCCUGCGUAAGAUUAGCUUGUUGGUGAGGUAACUGCUCACCAAGGCUACGAUCUUUAGCUGGUCUGAGAGGACGAUCAGCCACAUUGGGACUGAGACACGGCCCAGACUCCUACGGGAGGCAGCAGUGGGGAAUAUUGGACAAUGGGCGCAAGCCUGAUCCAGCCAUACCGCGUGUGUGAAGAAGGCCUUCGGGUUGUAAAGCACUUUAAGCAGGGAGAAAAAGUUGUAAGUUAAUACCUUACAACCGUGAUGUUACCUGCAGAAUAAGCACCGGCUA